rnacentral:rRNA from 1 species
UGGGGAAUUUUGGACAAUGGGCGAAAGCCUGAUCCAGCAAUGCCGCGUGUGUGAAGAAGGCCUUCGGGUUGUAAAGCACUUUUGUCCGGAAAGAAAUCCUUGGCUCUAAUACAGUCGGGGGAUGACGGUACCGGAAGAAUAAGCACCGGCUAACUACGUGCCAGCAGCCGCGGUAAUACGUAGGGUGCAAGCGUUAAUCGGAAUUACUGGGCGUAAAGCGUGCGCAGGCGGUUUGCUAAGACCGAUGUGAAAUCCCCGGGCUCAACCUGGGAACUGCAUUGGUGACUGGCAGGCUAGAGUAUGGCAGAGGGGGGUAGAAUUCCACGUGUAGCAGUGAAAUGCGUAGAGAUGUGGAGGAAUACCGAUGGCGAAGGCAGCCCCCUGGGCCAAUACUGACGCUCAUGCACGAAAGCGUAGGGAGCAAACAGGAUUAGAUACCCUGGUAGUCCACGCCCUAAACGAUGUCAACUAGUUGUUGGGGAUUCAUUUCCUUAGUAACGUAGCUAACGCGUGAAGUUGACCGCCUGGGGAGUACGGUCGCAAGAUUAAAACUCAAAUGAAUUGACGGGGUCAUAGCUGUUUCCU